UGUAGUUUGUGUAUAUAGUUUAUAUUUAUAUAUAUAUAUAUCUUUGGAUUGCGUCAGUUGGAAAGGGAAGCAAAAAUGAGAAUUGUGAUGGUUUUGGUGCGGGACUCACGAGAUAUUUUGUGGUUUUUGAUUUAGUUGGUUACUUUUUUUAAUAUAUAUAUAUAAUGUAUACGUAGUAUAAUGGAAUGAGUGAAGAGAAGAGAGCAGCCGAGAUUUAGAGAGGUGAUGGCGGGGCCCACGAAUAGAUUUUUUAGCAAAAUUAUUGCUUUGGUUUGAGUUCUCACGGGGCUUUGUAUGAGAAGAAUGGAAAGAUAAGAAAAAGGUCGAAAAGAAGAAAGAGAAAAGAAAUGAUGAUGGAGAAAGAAAGUGGGUGGUGGGAUCCACCAAAAAUGAUGCUUACUUGAUUUUUUUUUCCCUCGUCUCAGUGGUUUUGCCUUUAUAUUGAAGGAGUUGUGCACUAAGCGAAUACAAUGACAAAAGAGAAAAAAAAUUAGAAAAAGACAGGGGGAACCGAAAGUUUUGAGGAGUUUGCAGAGGAGGUUGGAGUUUGAGGCUUUGAUGAUUUUGUACCGAAGAUGUGCGAAAAUUGCUAGAUUCGAGUUUAGGUGGAAGAGUCGUCGUUGCCAGAUUUAAUUAUUUAUUUGGAGUUUUUUCUUUUGUGUAUAUUGAAGAAAUUGACUUUGUAUAAAAGAGAACAAUUUUUUUU